UACAGAGGAGCCAAGCGUUGUCCGGAUUGACUGGGCGUAAAGCGCACGCAGGCGGCUGCGCGCGUGGGGGUGUGAAAUCUGGCCGCUUAACGGCCAGGCGCCAUCCCAUACGGCGCGGCUUGAGCCUUGCAGAGGGCGGUGGAAUUGCCGGUGUAGUGGUGAAAUGCGUAGAGAUCGGCAGGAACACCCAGGGGGGAAACCAGUCGACUGGGCAUCUACUGACACUCAAGUGCGACAGCGUGGGGGAGCGAACCGG
rnacentral:rRNA from 1 species